AUUGAACGCUGGCGGCAUGCCUUACACAUGCAAGUCGAACGGCAGCACGGGAGCAAUCCUGGUGGCGAGUGGCGAACGGGUGAGUAAUGUAUCGGAACGUGCCCAGUCGUGGGGGAUAACGUAGCGAAAGCUACGCUAAUACCGCAUACGAUCUAUGGAUGAAAGCGGGGGAUCGCAAGACCUCGCGCGAUUGGAGCGGCCGAUAUCAGAUUAGGUAGUUGGUGGGGUAAAGGCACACCAAGCCGACGAUCCGUAGCUGGUCUGAGAGGACGACCAGCCACACUGGGACUGAGACACGGCCCAGACUCCUACGGGAGGCAGCAGUGGGGAAUUUUGGACAAUGGGCGCAAGCCUGAUCCAGCAAUGCCGCGUGCAGGAUGAAGGCCUUCGGGUUGUAAACUGCUUUUGUACGGAACGAAACGGCGAGCUCUAAUACAGUUUGCUAAUGACGGUACCGUAAGAAUAAGCACCGGCUAACUACGUGCCAGCCGCCGCUGUAA
rnacentral:rRNA from 1 species